GCGGCGGUGGAGGAAUUGGCAGACUCGAUGGAUUCAAAAUCCAUUGCCCGAGAGGGCGUGUGGGUUCGAGUCCCACCCGCCGCA
rnacentral:tRNA from 1 species